rnacentral:rRNA from 1 species
AGAGCAUACGGUGGAUGCCUUGGCGAUAUCUGCCGAUGAAGGACGCGACAAGCUGCGAAAAGCUGCGGAGAGGUGCAAAUGACCAUUGACCCGCAGAUCUCCGAAUGGAGCAAUCCGGCAGGGUUUAUCCCCUGUCACCCAUAUCUUCGAAUAUGGGAGGGAACCGGGCGAACUGAAACAUCUAAGUAGCCCGAGGAAGAGUAAUCAAACGAGAUACCCCAAGUAGCGGCGAGCGAACGGGGCCUAAGCCCAAACCGGUGAAGGAAACUUUGCCGGGGUUGAGGACUGCCAUACGAACUAGCCCAUUAGCCGAAAUUUCUGGGAAGGAAUGCCGAAGAAUGUGAAAGCCAUGUAAGCGAAAAUGGAAAAGGGACAGGCAGCACCAGAGUACCGCGGGACACGAGAAACCCCGUGGGAAGCCGGGGGGACCACCCUCCAAGGCAAAACACAGAUAUCGACCGAUAGCGCAUAGUACCAUGAGGGAAAGGUGAAAAGCACCCCGGGAGGGGAAUGAAAGAGAACCUGAAACCGUAUGUUUACAAGCAGUCGAAGACCGCUUAAUAAUAAGGUCAACGGCGUGCCUAUUGAAGAAUGAACCGGCGAGUUAUGAGGUCCAGCAAGGUUAAGCAGGAAAUGCGGAGCCGAAGCGAAAGCGAGUCUUAAUAGGGCGACAAGUUGGAUUGCAUAGACCCGAAACCACAGUGAUCUACCCAUGUCCAGGCUGAAGCACAGGUAAAAAUGUGUGGAGGGCCGAACCUAUAUCCGUUGAAAAGGGUUAGGAUGAGGUGUGGGUAGGGGUGAAAUUCCAAUCGAACGUGGAGAUAGCUGGUUCUCCCCGAAAUAGCUUUAGGGCUAGCCUCGAGGUAGAGAUUGCAGGCGGUAGAGCACUGAUCAGGAGAGGGGCCUACCCGGCUACCAAACCCAGUCAAACUACGAAUGGCUGCAAUUAUACUCGGGAGUCAGACUACGACUUAUAAGGGCCGUGGUCAAAAGGGAAACAGCCCAGAUCAUCAGCUAAGGUCCCAAAUGCCGUGCUAAGUGGCGAAGGAUGUGGCGUUUCAUAAACAACCAGGAUGUUGGCUCAGAAGCAGCCACCAUUUAAAGAGUGCGUAAUAGCUCACUGGUCGAGAGACGCUGCGCCGAAAAUGUCCGGGGCUCAAGCACGGAACCGAAGCUAUGGCAUGAUAGCAAUAUCAUGGGUAGGGGAGCGUUCUUAACAGGAAGAAGCAUGACCGAAAGGACAUGUGGACCGUUAAGAAGUGAGAAUGCCGGUAUGAGUAUCGAAAAGAAAGGUGAGAAUCCUUUCCACCGAAAGCCCGAGGGUUCCUGAGCAACGAUCGUCGUCUCAGGGUAAGUCGGGACCUAAGCCGAGGCGGAGACGCAUAGGCGAUGGACAACAGGUUGAAAUUCCUGUACCGGAUACAAUCGUUUGAGCGAUGGAGCGACGCAGAAAGGCAUAUGAUCGCGCGACUGGAAGAGCGCGUCCAAGUGCGUAUGUUGAAUCGGAGGCAAAUCCCUGAUUCUGAAAGCAGAGACACGAUGGGGAGUUAUACGAAAGUAUGACGAACUCAUAGAUCCUACACUGCCAAGAAAAACUUCUAGUGAGAAAGUAUCCGCCCGUACCGUAAACCGACACAGGUAGGCGGGGAGAGAAUCCUAAGGUGCGCGGGAAAACCCUCGUUAAGGAACUCGGCAAAUUGCAUCCGUAACUUAGGGAGAAGGAUGACCUUAAGUAAGCGAAAGGGAGAAACCCCUGGAACAGAACAAGGUGGCAGAAAAGAGGCCCAAGCAACUGUUUACCAAAAACACAGGUGCCUGCGAAAGCGAAAGCUGAAGUAUAGGUGCUGACGCCUGCCCGGUGCUGGAAGGUUAAGGAGAGAUGUCAGAGCAAUCGAAGCAUUGAACUGAAGCCCCAGUGAACGGCGGCCGUAACUAUAACGGUCCUAAGGUAGCGAAAUUCCUUGUCAGGUAAGUUCUGACCCGCAUGAAAGGCGUAAUGAUUUGGGCACUGUCUCAACAGCCCGCCCGGCGAAAUUGUAGUACCGGUGAAGAUGCCGGUUACCCGCGACAAGACGGAAAGACCCCAUGGAGCUUUACUGUAGCCUGAUAUUGGGUUUCGGUGUUGCAUGCACAGGAUAGAUGGGACGCUAGGAAAGAAGCGCUUUGGCGUUUCUGGAGCGGACGUUGGGAUACCAUCCUUGCGACAUUGGAAUUCUAACCUGCGCCUCUGAAUCGAGGCGGGGGACAUUGUCAGGUGGGCAGUUUGACUGGGGCGGUCGCCUCCUAAAAAGUAGCGGAGGCGUUCAAAGGUUCGUUCGAUCUGGACGGAAACCAGAUGAUUGAGUGCAAACGCAUAAACGAGCCUGACUGCGAGACUGACGGGUCGAGCAGAGACGAAAGUCGGAGUUAGUGAUCCGGUGGUAUGUGAGUGGAAAUGCCAUCGCUCAACGGAUAAAAGUUACCCUGGGGAUAACAGGCUGAUCUCCCCCAAGAGUCCACAUCGACGGGGAGGUUUGGCACCUCGAUGUCGGCUCAUCGCAUCCUGGGGCUGAAUUCGGUCCCAAGGGUUUGGCUGUUCGCCAAUUAAAGCGGUACGCGAGCUGGGUUCAGAACGUCGUGAGACAGUUCGGUCCCUAUCUGUCGUGGGCGCAGGAUAUUUGAAAGGCGCUGUCCCUAGUACGAGAGGACCGGGAUGGACGAACCUCUGGUGCACCAGUUGUCACGCCAGUGGCACAGCUGGGCAGCUAUGUUCGGAUCGGAUAAACGCUGAAAGCAUCUAAGCGUGAAGCCGGCCUUAAGAUAAGAUAUCCCACUGAGUCAAUCAGGUAAGACCCCUUGA